ensembl:lncRNA UFL1-AS1 UFL1 antisense RNA 1
GGUUCCUCCCGGCGAGACUGGCGGGGCUGCGGCGGCUAGGAGAGUGGGUCCUCUCUUCCCCACAGACAUGAACGAACCAGCUCUAUGACCACAUCUCCCAUAACCAGCCCCGGCCUGCAAAGGCAGCCACCACAGAGCUUCUUAGUGAUGUAUCAGCGCAUUCCUGAUGGACGUCAAUGGAAGCAUUUGAGAAAAAAACACCUUUCAAAGUGAAACUGUAUUAUGUUACUGGAACAUUUGUUAAAAAUCUAUUAACCUCUAAGAAGCCAAGAACAGAAAUUCAGCAAUAAAAGGUACUCUCAGAAACCACCUCUGGCCUGAAAAGGGGCCGACUGAAACAUAUACCUAUUUGAAGAUCCCUGGCACACAGAUACAGCAGAAGAAGCCCAAAUGUGUUAUCAAACCAUUGAGAGAAACAGAACUUUCCUCAAAGCCAAGAAACAGCUUUCAAAAGGAAGUUUCCCAAAAACUCUUCUAAAAGUACCAGCAUAUCUUCAAACCAAGUAACGUUUUUUUCAAUGCUAUCCUUAACUGUUCUACUUUUAUUUGCUUGUAGAAAAGUGGCACAACCUAGACUGUCAUCGCUAAAGCCAUGACUAAAAUUUUUAGUAUUUUGUAACCACAUCAGAUUUGUGAACAUCUCCCAGUUGAUAUAAUCACUUAUUUACUCGCAUAUUGAGACUGUACCAUAACUUUGUGGUUCAGAUGGAAUUCGUUAGAAAACUAAACUGUUUUUAAAAACGUUAUGUUUUUGUUUUUCUCGUUAUAAAUUUACCUUCACAGUUUGCAAAUGCAUUAGUAUAAUCAUCUGGUAAAAAAAUGGCAACUCUUGAUUUGAUACAUUUUUAAAAAACAAGUACACUCAGGCAAAUUUUAUAAAUUCAAAACUCACAGUGUUUUGUUUUUAUUUAUAUAUUUUUCUUACAGUUUUCUUUGUUUACUUUUAAUAAUUUGUUAGUACAUCCAAUAUCUACCAAGAUGUAAU